GCAGACACACUCCAGCCAAUCAGCAGCAGACCCUCCCUCCCAGACCCUCCCACCUCUUGGACAGCAUCCAUUUUACAUUCAUUGUGAAGCUGCAUUCUUAGUGAGCUGUCCAGGAGGUGGGAGGGUAUGGGAGGGAGGGUCUGCUGCUGAUUGGCUGGAAUGUGUCUG
rnacentral:miRNA from 1 species